ensembl:snRNA U6 U6 spliceosomal RNA
GUGCUCACUUCAGCAGCACAUACACUAAAAUUGGAUUGGUACAGAGAAGAUUAGCAUGGGCCCUGCUCAAAGGUGGCAGACAAAUUUGUGAAGCAUUCCGUAUUUUC